UACGGAGGGUGCAAGCGUUAUCCGGAUUUACUGGGUUUAAAGGGUGCGUAGGUGGAUAAUUAAGUCAGUGGUGAAAUCUUCAGGCUUAACCUGGAAACUGCCAUUGAUACUAUUUAUCUUGAAUACUUUGGAGGUAAGCGGAAUAUGUCAUGUAGCGGUGAAAUGCUUAGAUAUGACAUAGAACACCAAUUGCGAAGGCAGCUUACUACGGAUUGAUUGACACUGAGGCACGAAAGCGUGGGGAUCAAACAGG
rnacentral:rRNA from 1 species